rnacentral:ncRNA from 1 species
GGCGGACGCCAAACUGCCCGACGCACAGUCAGGCUACGAGAAGGCGUAUACGAACGUACUGGCCGGCCAUAGCGGGGCCAAUCUGAUUUAUGAAGCGG